CCUACGGGUGGCAGUAGUGAGGAAUAUUGGUCAAUGGGCGUAAGCCUGAACCAGCCAAGUCGCGUGAGGGAUGAAGGUUCUAUGGAUCGUAAACCUCUUUUAUAGGGGAGUAAAGUGCAGGACGUGUCCCGUUUUGUAUGUACCUUAUUAAUAAGCAUCGGCUAACUCCGUACCAGCAGCCGCGGUAAUACGGGGGAUCCGAGCGUUCUCCGGAUUUAUUGGGUUUAAAGGGUGCGGAGGCUGCCUUUUAAGGCAGCGGUGAAAGUCUGUGGCUCAACCAUAGAAUGGCCGUUGAAACUGGGAGGCUUGAGGAUGUUUGAGGCAGGCGGAAUGCGUGGUGUAGCGGUGAAAUGCUUAGAUAUCACGAAGAACCCCGAUUGCGAAGGCAGCCUGCCAAGCCAUGACUGACGCUGAUGCACGAAAGCGUGGGGAUCAAACAGGAUUAGAUACCCGUGUAGUC
rnacentral:rRNA from 1 species